CACGUAGGGGGCUAGCGUUGUCCGGAAUCAUUGGGCGUAAAGCGCGUGUAGGCGGUCCGGUAAGUCCGCUGUGAAAGUCGGGGGCUCAACCCUCGAAUGCCGGUGGAUACUGUCGGGCUAGAGUGCGGAAGAGGCGAGUGGAAUUCCUGGUGUAGCGGUGAAAUGCGCAGAUAUCAGGAAGAACACCCGUGGCGAAGGCGGCUCUCUGGGACGGUACUGACGCUGAGACGCGAAAGCGUGGGGAGCGAACAGG
rnacentral:rRNA from 1 species